rnacentral:rRNA from 1 species
GAUGAAUGCUGGCGGCGUGCCUAAUACAUGCAAGUCGAGCGGUAAGGCCCUUCGGGUACACGAGCGGCGGACGGGCUGAGUAACGCGUGGGAACAUGCCCCAAAGUGAGGGAUAACGCACCGAAAGGUGUGCUAAUACCGCAUAUGGUCUUCGGAUUAAAGGAUUUAUCCGCUUUGGGAGUGGCCCGCGUACGAUUAGAUUGUUGGUGAGGUAACGGCUCACCAAGUCGACGAUCGUUAACUGGUCUGAGAGGAUGAUCAGUCAGACUGGAACUGAGACACGGUCCAGACUCCUACGGGAGGCAGCAGUAAGGAAUCUUCCACAAUGGGCGAAAGCCUGAUGGAGCAACGCCGCGUGCAGGAUGAAGGCCCUCGGGUCGUAAACUGCUUUAUGAGUGAAGAAUAUGACGGUAACUCAUGAAUAAGCACCGGCUAACUACGUGCCAGCAGCCGCGGUAAU